GAGCGUUCUGUAAGCCUGUGAAGGUGUACUGUGAGGUAUGCUGGAGGUAUCAGAAGUGCGAAUGCUGACAUAAGUAACGAUAAAGCGGGUGAAAAGCCCGCUCGCCGGAAGACCAAGGGUUCCUGUCCAACGUUAAUCGGGGCAGGGUGAGUCGACCCCUAAGGCGAGGCCGAAAGGCGUAGUCGAUGGGAAACAGGUUAAUAUUCCUGUACUUGGUGUUACUGCGAAGGGGGGACGGAGAAGGCUAUGUUGGCCGGGCGACGGUUGUCCCGGUUUAAGCGUGUAGGCUGGUUUUCCAGGCAAAUCCGGAAAACUAAGGCUGAGGCGUGAUGACGAGGCACUACGGUGCUGAAGCAACAAAUGCCCUGCUUCCAGGAAAAGCCUCUAAGCAUCAGGUAACAUCAAAUCGUACCCCAAACCGACACAGGUGGUCAGGUAGAGAAUACCAAGGCGCUUGAGAGAACUCGGGUGAAGGAACUAGGCAAAAUGGUGCCGUAACUUCGGGAGAAGGCACGCUGAUAUGUAGGUGAAGUCCCUCGCGGAUGGAGCUGAAAUCAGUCGAAGAUACCAGCUGGCUGCAACUGUUUAUUAAAAACACAGCACUGUGCAAACACGAAAGUGGACGUAUACGGUGUGACGCCUGCCCGGUGCCGGAAGGUUAAUUGAUGGGGUCAGCGCAAGCGAAGCUCUUGAUCGAAGCCCCGGUAAACGGCGGCCGUAACUAUAACGGUCCUAAGGUAGCGAAAUUCCUUGUCGGGUAAGUUCCGACCUGCACGAAUGGCGUAAUGAUGGCCAGGCUGUCUCCACCCGAGACUCAGUGAAAUUGAACUCGCUGUGAAGAUGCAGUGUACCCGCGGCAAGACGGAAAGACCCCGUGAACCUUUACUAUAGCUUGACACUGAACAUUGAGCCUUGAUGUGUAGGAUAGGUGGGAGGCUUUGAAGUGUGGACGCCAGUCUGCAUGGAGCCGACCUUGAAAUACCACCCUUUAAUGUUUGAUGUUCUAACGUUGACCCGUAAUCCGGGUUGCGGACAGUGUCUGGUGGGUAGUUUGACUGGGGCGGUCUCCUCCUAAAGAGUAACGGAGGAGCACGAAGGUUGGCUAAUCCUGGUCGGACAUCAGGAGGUUAGUGCAAUGGCAUAAGCCAGCUUGACUGCGAGCGUGACGGCGCGAGCAGGUGCGAAAGCAGGUCAUAGUGAUCCGGUGGUUCUGAAUGGAAGGGCCAUCGCUCAACGGAUAAAAGGUACUCCGGGGAUAACAGGCUGAUACCGCCCAAGAGUUCAUAUCGACGGCGGUGUUUGGCACCUCGAUGUCGGCUCAUCACAUCCUGGGGCUGAAGUAGGUCCCAAGGGUAUGGCUGUUCGCCAUUUAAAGUGGUACGCGAGCUGGGUUUAGAACGUCGUGAGACAGUUCGGUCCCUAUCUGCCGUGGGCGCUGGAGAACUGAGGGGGGCUGCUCCUAGUACGAGAGGACCGGAGUGGACGCAUCACUGGUGUUCGGGUUGUCAUGCCAAUGGCACUGCCCGGUAGCUAAAUGCGGAAGAGAUAAGUGCUGAAAGCAUCUAAGCACGAAACUUGCCCCGAGAUGAGUUCUCCCUGACUCCUUGAGAGUCCUGAAGGAACGUUGAAGACGACGACGUUGAUAGGCCGGGUGUGUAAGCGCAGCGAUGCGUUGAGCUAACCGGUACUAAUGAACCGUGAGGCUUAACCUUACAACGCCGAAGGUGUUU
rnacentral:rRNA from 1 species